AGUGAACGCUGGCGGUAGGCCUAACACAUGCAAGUCGAACGGCAGCACAGUAAGAGCUUGCUCUUACGGGUGGCGAGUGGCGGACGGGUGAGGAAUACAUCGGAAUCUACUUUUUCGUGGGGGAUAACGUAGGGAAACUUACGCUAAUACCGCAUACGACCUACGGGUGAAAGCAGGGGAUCUUCGGACCUUGCGCGAUUGAAUGAGCCGAUGUCGGAUUAGCUAGUUGGCGGGGUAAAGGCCCACCAAGGCGACGAUCCGUAGCUGGUCUGAGAGGAUGGCCAGCCACACGGGAACUGAGACACGGUCCAGACUCCUACGGGAGGCAGCAGUGGGGACUAUUGGACAAUGGGCGCAAGCCUGAUCCAGCCAUACCGCGUGGGUGAAGAAGGCCUUCGGGUUGUAAAGCCCUUUUGUUGGGAAAGAAAAGCAGCAGGUUAACACCCCGAUGUUCUGACGGUACCCAAAGAAUAAGCACCGGCUAACUUCGUG
rnacentral:rRNA from 1 species